UACGUAGGGGGCAAGCGUUGUCCGGAUUUAUUGGGCGUAAAGAGCGUGUAGGCGGCCAGGUAGGUCCGUUGUGAAAACUCGAGGCUUAACCUCGAGACGUCGAUGGAAACCGUCUGGCUAGAGUCCGGAAGAGGAGUGUGGAAUUUCUGGUGUAGCGGUGAAAUGCGCAGAUAUCAGGAAGAACACCUAUGGCGAAGGCAGCACUCUGGGACGGUACUGACGCUGAGACGCGAAAGCGUGGGGAGCGAACAGG
rnacentral:rRNA from 1 species